AACAAUAGUGGGUCGAAUCAAAGAUGCAACCAUGUCGACUGCGGAACAUCGAAAACUGCGGAAUCUGUAUCGAUUUGGGGGGGAGAAGACGAGGUGAUUGGUGCUAGCGGAUUUCGAGGUUGCGAAGCCAGCCUUGCCGAUUUCCUCUUAGUGGUGGAAUAGCUAAUAAUUAUUGGCUGGAUUCGACGUGAAUUUGUGGUUUUGUGCGUGCUUGAUGAACGUUGAGCAUAAUUAAUGUUGUGCGAGCUUAAUGAACGUUAUGUUGGUCCGUUGGUGCCUCCCCAAAACCACAAAGCGCCUGAGAGGACAAUGCCUAACCUGUGUUGUCAACUACAUUCACCUUCCACUGAAGACUAGGCCAGAGAACUGCGAUCGUCCCAACUGUACCGACAGUCGAUGGUGAGACAGGUGCGAUCCAUGUGGGACUGUUGCGUAUGAAACUAUCUCCUAUCCAAAUUUAUGUUUACCGUUGUGCAGUUGGUGGAAUUCACCUCCCAAGCCUCCGUAGCGCCACUUUUCUCAGUUACGCUGCUGCCAGAGGAGGUCUUUAGAUUGUGAAUGCGCUUCAUCGCAAGGACGGAGGUUUGAACCUCGCCAGGGACAAGCCCGAGAUCAAGCGAUGAAGAUACGCCAACUUCAAACAAAGCUGAGGAAACACUCGACUAGUGUUGAAGCUUGCAGUUCUGAAUUUCGUUUCUUGGAAACAGACCUCUCUCUUAUUGCCAUUGUUCUCAUGUAUUCCAAUAGUGAAUCUGUACUGACCGAUGUGCCAGAUUUAAACAUUGUGAAGUUCAAUGAUUUUGAUAAUGCCGGGCAAUGCCUCAUCAAAACUUGUAUGUGUUGUGAAAAGCAUUCAACCCUCUAUUUUCGCUGGCGAUGUUGGACGAGUUUAGCGUCUGUGGCCUGGAAGUAGUUGCAUCUUACGGUGAAUGUAAGCGAUUAAAUACACACAGGUGGAGGCCCUGCAGAUUGAUCAGACAAAUUAGGAAUGAUCAAGGGAUUGAUGCAUGCCCAACAACGAGGUGCGUCAGGUUGGAGGUGCUAUAGAAAUUUCCUGGCAUUAAAGAUGCGAGAUUAAGAGUUACACUGAAUUUUUUGUUUUUUGAGACGAUGGUCAUGGCGCAGAUACUUGGUGGCUGUAAACAAUCCCUGCACUUCAAUUUUCAAUAUGUAUAAAUGUUCUGAGAAGUUUUUAACUGAUUUAAUCCGAA